rnacentral:rRNA from 1 species
GCAAAUUUACACCGUAACUUCGGGAGAAGGUGUGCCGCUGGCGGUUAGUGACUUCGCGUCACGAAGCUGUCGGUGGUCGCAGUGAAAUGGCGGUUGUGACUGUUUACUAAAAACACAGGACUCUGCGAAGUCGUAAGACGACGUAUAGGGUCUGAUGCCUGCCCGGUGCUGGAAGGUUAAGGGGAUAUGUCAGCGCAAGCGAAGCAUUGAACCGAAGCCCCAGUAAACGGCGGCCGUAACUAUAACGGUCCUAAGGUAGCGAAAUUCCUUGUCGGGUAAGUUCCGACCUGCACGAGGGCAUAACAACAUCCGCACUGUCUCGACCAGGGACUCAGCGAAAUUACAUUGGGGGUGAAGAUGCCCUCUACCCGCGGAAAGACGGAAAGACCCCAUGAACCUUUACUGCAACUUGGCAGUGAUUUUCGGGUUGUUCUGCGUAGGAUAGGUGGGAGGCUUUGAAGUCGGGCUUCCGGGUUCGACUGAGCCAACGUUGAAAUACCACCCUGAAUAAUCUGGAAAUCUAACCUGCGCCCAUGAUCUGGCGAGGGACACUGCCUGGUGGGCAGUUUGACUGGGGCGGUCGCCUCCUAAAUUGUAACGGAGGCGUGCGACGGUUCCCUCAGGCUGAUUGGAAACCAGCCGUAGAGUGCAAACGCAUAAGGGAGCUUUACUGCGAGACUGACAAGUCGAACAGUUGCGAAAGCAGGUGUUAGUGAUCCGGUGGUACCACAUGGAAGGGCCAUCGCUCAUCGGAUAAAAGGUACUCUGGGGAUAACAGGCUGAUCGCGCCUGAGAGUUCACAUCGGCGGCGCGGUUUGGCACCUCGAUGUCGGCUCAUCGCAUCCUGGGGCUGGAGCAGGUCCCAAGGGUUUGGCUGUUCGCCAAUUAAAGCGGUACGCGAGCUGGGUUUAAAACGUCGUGAGACAGUUUGGUCCCUAUCUUCCGUGGGCGCAGGACACUUGAGAGGAGCUAUCCAUAGUACGAGAGGACCUGGAUGGACGAACCUCUGGUGCUCCGGUUGUCACGCCAGUGGCAUAGCCGGGUAGCCAUGUUCGGAACAGAUAACCGCUGAAGGCAUAUAAGCGGGAAGCUGGCCUCAAGACUAGGUGUCCCUGACGCAAGUCACUAAAGGCCCCUCGAAGACUACGAGGUUGAUAGGCUCGGUGUGGAAGCGCUGCAAGGCGCGGAGCUAACGAGUACUAAUAGGCCGUGCGACUUGACCUG